GUCGUAUGUCGGUUGUUUGGUCGUCUCCUAGCAACCGCAGCGCGUGCACGGUAACCAUAGCGACGGAGCGCUCGAGCGGCUGAAACUCAGACGUUUGUAAAGUGUUGCUGCGUUUAAGGCGUGUUUUAUUCGGGAUGGACACCGAGUACCUGAAACAGAGACUGGGGAAAUGUUUGGUGGAGGGUCUGGCGGAAAUUGUGGAGCAGAGACCUGUGGACCCCAUUGAGUUUCUCGCUCACUACAUCUACAAACACAAAGAAAACUUGGAGUACGCCAAGAAGAAAGCUGCACAUGAGAAGCUGGUGGAGAAGGAGGUGCAAAAAGCCAGAGAGGAGGCAGAGCAUCAGAAACGGCUGAAGGAGGAGGAGGCGCAAAUACAAGCCGCCCAGGAGCCAAAAGCCGAAACUGAAGCAGAUGCUAAACAACCCACUGCCCAGCCUGGGGCAGAAGACCCAGAAAUGCGGGCUGAAGCUAAGACAACAGUGGAGGCUCCACCAGACGGGGAGGAUUUAGACGGCACCAAAGCUGCAGACGUAGACGGUUCCGUCUCAGAGAGCACAGACGAUGCAAUGAGACGGAUUCCUGAAGAAUCAGCGGGUGAGACACACCCAGAGGAGGUUUCUGACGAGACGAAACCUCAGGAUGUCCCGGGGAGUGAUGUAAUAAAUACCGUGGAGUCUGCGGGCGAGACACAACCGAGUCACAGCCAGGUAGAGGACGAGGUGAGGACAAUCAGACUACUGGCUCAGUGGCAGACAGAGAAAGACAGAGUCGAUAGAAAGACGAGAAGAAAAGCUAUUUCACUGCAUGCUUUUAAACGAGGCUCAUUCUAUACACGUUUCCUAUCAAAACCGGUGAACAUGCUUCCUAGCUAGUGCAUGCUGUCACUCAGCCCUCUUCCACAUACACAAGAUCAUAGAGGCUCACGAUUGGCUAGCGAGUGUCACUGUGCAGCUCAGACGAGUUUUACUUUACUAUAUUGAAGAUCGGAGUCCUUAUCAUUGCGCAAUACCGGCGCAAGUCGAGAAACUUUCCAAGACGGUCUGAUGACCAGAGAUCGUUAGAGAUAAUCAGGGAUUUUUCUAGAUCGCCAGAGAUCUCUAAAGAUGAUCACAGAUGACCAGAGAUGAUUAGAGAUCUUUCGAGACGGUCGGAGAUGACUAGACAUGAAAGAUCGAGAACGAGAUUCAGGUGGAUCCAAACCUCCAGACGUAGAUAGUACGGUCUCUGGAGACAACCCUGAGGUAAAUCCUGAAGAAUCAGUCGGCGAGACACAACCGAGCCAAACCCAAGCGGAAGAAGAGGUAAGGACAGA